rnacentral:rRNA from 1 species
UGACCUCGAAUCAGGUAGGAAUCCCCGCUGAACUUAAGCAUAUCAAUAAGCGGAGGAAAAGAAACCAACAGGGAUUGCCCCAGUAACGGCGAGUGAAGCGGCAACAGCUCAAAUUUGAAAUCUGGCCCCCCGGGGCCCGAGUUGUAAUUUGUAGAGGAUGCUUCUGGCGAGGUGCCUUCCGAGUUCCCUGGAACGGGACGCCAUAGAAGUAGCCUUGUUGUCACGAUCUGCUGAGGGUCAACCGUCACUUCGCCUCGAUUUCCCCGACGAUGCCGCUGGGUCUCUCGCUGCGGCGAGGCCCCAGCGUGUCGUGGGGGGGGACUGUGCAGGGGAGGGAGAGGGAGAGGGAGAGCUCGCCCGCCUAGACGGGCGGCGACGACGACGACGAGUACGAGGACGACGAGAUUGCCUCUGCGUCUGCGAGGGCCGAGACGGUGCAGGGUAAGCCGGCUGACUUGGCUUUGACUUUGCUUCCGUCUCUAUUUUCUUCUCAUUCCCCCCUCUGCAAAGGUGAGCGGAGAUGGAAGUUUGAGGCAAUAACAGGUCUGUGAUGCCCUUAGAUGUUCUGGGCCGCACGCGCGCUACACUGACGGAGCCAGCGAGUACUCCCUUGGCCGGAAGGCCCGGGUAAUCUUGUUAAACUCCGUCGUGCUGGGGACAGAGCAUUGCAAUUAUUGCUCUUCAACGAGGAAUCCCUAGUAAGCGCAAGUCAUCAGCUUGCGUUGAUUACGUCCCUGCCCUUUGUACACACCGCCCGUCGCUACUACCGAGCUUCGGCGCCGGUGAAAUACCACUACUCCUAUUGUUUUUUUACUUAUUCAAUGAAGCGGGGCUGGAUUUUCGUCCAACUUCUGGUAUUAAGGUCCUUCGCGGGCCGACCCGGGUUGAAGACAUUGUCAGGUGGGGAGUUUGGCUGGCGCGGCACAUCUGUUAAACCAUAACGCAGGUGUCCUAAGGCUAACGACCUCGGGUAUCGGAAGCAACGCGAGAGGAUGCUACAAUGGACAAUCCGCAGCCAAGCCCCUACGGUGCGGCCUCUACGGGGGUCGCAUACGGGGAAGGUUCAGAGACUUGACGGGGGUGGGAAAAUAGAUCCGUAACUUCGGGAUAAGGAUUGGCUCUAAGGGUUGGGUGCGUUGGGCCUUGGGAGGACGCCCUGGGAGCAGGCCACCACUAGCCGGGCAACCGGCCGGCGGCGGCCAGCAUCCGGGUGCUGAUGCCCUUGGCAGGCCUCGGCCGUCCGGCGCACGUUUAACAACCAACUUAGAACUGGUACGGACAAGGGGAAUCUGACGGGGUAGCCGCGGCCACGUCGAGAGUUGCGACAAGUAUCAUGCCAAGAUCCUCUCGCGCCUCUUCUGGCCGAGUCUGCCGAGGGAACCCUUCACCGUGCCUGCUCCUGUUGCGGAAGUUCAGGCCCAGUACGAGGCUGGGUUUGAGCGCCUGAAGACGUCUCGAAAACUGACUUGGCUGGACCACAUCGGAUCAGCAACGGUUCAGCUCAACCUGCAAGACCGAUCCAUCGAGCUGGAAUGCAAGACGUACGAGGCGGCCGUCAUUUACGCGUUUCCUUCACUGCUUAGUAUCUACUUCACUGCUUCACUGCUUCACUGCUUCCCUGCUUCACCAGACUGCCCCCCUGCUUCCCUGCUUCCCUGCUUCCCUGCUUCCCUGCUUCCCUGCUUCCCUGCUUCCCUGCUUCCCUGCUUCCCUGCUUCCCUGCUUCCCUGCUUCCCUGCUUCCCUGCUUCCCUGCUUCCCUGCUUCCCUGCUUCCCUGCUUCCCUGCUUCCCUGCUUCCCUGCUUCCCUGCUUCCCUGCUUCCCUGCUUCCCUGCUUCCCUGCUUCCCUGCUUCCCUGCUUCCCUGCUUCCCUGCUUCCCUGCUUCCCUGCUUCCCUGCUUCCCUGCUUCCCUGCUUCCCUGCUUCCCUGCUUCCCUGCUUCCCUGCUUCCCUGCUUCCCUGCUUCCCUGCUUCCCUGCUUCCCUGCUUCCCUGCUUCCCUGCUUCCCUGCUUCCCUGCUUCCCUGCUUCCCUGCUUCCCUGCUUCCCUGCUUCCCUGCUUCCCUGCUUCCCUGCUUCCCUGCUUCCCUGCUUCCCUGCUUCCCUGCUUCCCCUACUCAAGUUCCAAUCUGAGUAACAUGGAACCCACCGGGGAACAGAAAGGUAACGGUGAACUUGACAGUGCAAUUGCUGCCGCCCCAGCAGGUGACCUCAUGUCAAGUCUUCCCAAAGAAAUGCGAGCAGAAAACUUGAUGUGCUAUAUUGGUCACGAGGGAACGUAUACGCCGGCUCAUCGGGAAAUGUGUGCAUCCAUCGGACAGAACAUUAUGGUCGAGGCUUCCGGCGAUAAAUCCGGAGAGAGAUCUGGAAGCUCCAUUUGGUUUAUGACCGAAAGCAAGGAACGCGAUGUAGUCCGUGAAUACUUCUUGUCAAUGCUGGGCCAUGACAUUGAGAUUGAAAAGCAUUUUGCGCAGAUCAACGCCUGGAAAAAGGCACCCUUU